rnacentral:lncRNA from 1 species
UUUUCUUUCUUUUUUUUUUUUUUUUUUUUUUUUGCAGAUUUGCUAGCUCUCAUUGAGGUUCUUACCAUCUAUUGUCUAAAUAAUCUUGUGGGGAUCACACAAAUUACUCAAGUUUUUCAAGAUAGUGACAUUGGUUAAUCAAGAUAAUGACAAAACUGCACUUCAGGUAUAUGUUUUUAUCAAAAUGUGAUGCUAUAAUAUAAAGAGUACAAAAAUCUUGAUGCACCAGUUUGGUUUGUUUAAACUGUAACCUGAUACUUGAUCGUUUCUUAUUAGCCUUGUGAAAGACUUAUAAAUAUAAUUUAGGCGAUAUUGAAUCUCAACUUUAUGGCCCGGCUUUUGAUUUGAUCAUAAUAUUAAUUAUGCUUAAUCCGCUAAUUCGCAAUUACCGGAUUUGUGAAGACAAUUGCUUCUUUGAAGAAAGGUACAUAUAUUUUGAAGUACGAUCGAAGAGGAUAGCCUAA